rnacentral:rRNA from 1 species
GAUGAACGCUAGUGGCAGGCCUAAUACAUGCAAGUCGAACGGGAUCCAGAUCAAAGCUUGCUUUGGUCUGGUGAGAGUGGCGCACGGGUGCGUAACGCGUGAGCAACCUACCCUUGUCAGGGGGAUAGCCCGGCGAAAGUCGGAUUAAUACCGCAUGACAUCAUUGAGAGGCAUCUUUCGAUGAUCAAAGAUUUAUCGGACAAGGAUGGGCUCGCGUGACAUUAGCUAGUUGGUAAGGUAACGGCUUACCAAGGCUGCGAUGUCUAGGGGCUCUGAGAGGAGAAUCCCCCACACUGGUACUGAGACACGGACCAGACUCCUACGGGAGGCAGCAGUAAGGAAUAUUGGUCAAUGGACGGAAGUCUGAACCAGCCAUGCCGCGUGCAGGAGGACGGCCCUAUGGGUUGUAAACUGCUUUUAUACGGGAACAAACGUCGGUACGUGUACCGGUCUGAGUGUACCGUAAGAAUAAGGAUCGGCUAACUCCGUG